UACAGAGGGUGCAAGCGUUGUUCGGAAUUAUUGGGCGUAAAGCGCGUGUAGGCGGCUUUGCAAGUCGGGUGUGAAAGCCCUCAGCUCAACUGAGGAAGUGCGCCCGAAACUGCAGAGCUUGAGUGCCGGAGAGGGUGGCGGAAUUCCCCAAGUAGAGGUGAAAUUCGUAGAUAUUGGGUGGAACACCGGGUGGCGAAAGCGCGUCUC
rnacentral:rRNA from 1 species